CAACUACUCCCUCUGUCCCAAAUUUCUUGUCUUAGAUUUGUCUAGAUACUGAUGUAUCUAAUACUAAAAUGUGACUUGAUACAUCCGUAUCUAGACAAAUCUAAGACAAGAAUUUUGGGACGGACGGAGUACGUU
rnacentral:pre_miRNA from 1 species